rnacentral:rRNA from 1 species
GGGGCAGUAAUACCUGGGAACGUACCCUGAGGUCGGGGAUAGCUGCUGGAAACGGCGAGUAAUACCCGAUGAUCUCGAGAGAGCAAAGGCUUGCCGCCUUCGGAGCGGCCCAGGCGAUAUUAGCUAGUUGGUGGGGUAAUGGCCUACCAAGGCAUAGAUGUCUAGCGGGUGUGAGAGCACGACCCGCGCCACUGGCACUGAGACACUGGCCAGACACCUACGGGUGGCUGCAGUCGAGAAUCUUCGGCAAUGAGCGCAAGCUUGACCGAGCGACGCCGCGUGCGGGAUGAAGGCCUUCGGGUUGUAAACCGCUUUGGUCCGAAAGAAAGGGUAAAACUUGAUCGAUCGGAGAAACAAGGACGGGCUAAGUUCGUGCCAGCAGCCGCGGUAAGACGAACCGUCCAAACGUUAUUCGGAAUCACUGGGCUUAAAGGGCGCGUAGGCGGCCGAGCGGGUCGUGGGUGAAAUCCCCCAGCUUAACUGGGGAACUGCUUACGAUACCACUGCGGCUCGAGGAA